CCAAAUGCGAUGAAGGAGUAAAGUACAUUAUCGAAGGCCACAGGGAGAUGGCGCCGUAGACUGAGAGCGCCAUUGGCAGGUAGAUAAUGGAAGUUCCCUCUGGAGCAGCGUGCUGAACCAAUAGUAGGCAUUGCCGGGCGACCGUUACCUAAAAUGAGGGAGCACCUCAAAUGGGGUGCUAAGAUAGGUGGUACCGCGGAAUUCUUCGUCCUAUGA
rnacentral:ncRNA from 1 species